ensembl:lncRNA
AUUAACUAACGUAUGGAAACGAAAGGGCAGCAGAGGAAAUUCUAUUUAUAUCUCCCUCAAGGAUUAUGCCACGAUCUACACUAUUUGAUUUUUUUAAUGCAUUCAUUCAGAGCCGAGAGUCUGUAGGGUGCUCUUUAAGCCUGACACUGAAUGAAAUAAUUCAAUUAAAAUAGGCUUGAGGCUUUUGCAAGGUAUUAAUCUCCCUGAAGAGAAGAUUUAGGACUCGCUCAAGGCAGCUUCAGCACCGGCAUUGGGGAGAUCAUAGGAAAGCAUAAGAAGGGCUCAGUGAGGGCUGCUUCUGGACAUAUUGGAGGAGGUUCUUCUUAGGUAAACGGGGAUGACAACAAUAGUAGCAACUUCACAAUCAAAUUGGUACCAGUUGUUAACCAAAGAGAUGCCAUUAAACUUUGAGCGCAGCAUCAGAGACUGAAUAUCCAAUGGCCAGACCACAUGUGAAAAGAGAACUCUAACCCACUAUCUGCAACCAACCAGGAAACCAACCCAUUAUCUACAGUAACCAGCCCAGGACGCCAGCCUACUUACUAUGUAUAAGCCAGACUGGUGAAAAGUCAGACUGCUGUCUCUAGAAAAAAUCCAUGGAGCCAAACAAUAACUCCUGUAACAACCAGCCCAAAACAGGCAUGACUUGACUCAUAACGGGCAGCUUCAUUACAUUUUAUCCUUGCUUCCAACUUAGGACCAACCAGAGAAAGCCGAAUAUGCACCCUUAACCAAUCACAUAAGAUGUCGUGCUUCUAGUGACUCCACCUACAACUUCCCCGUGCCAAGAGCCUUCGAUCGGAGCACACCUGAAGUCUUCCCUUUUCUCCACUAUAAAGCUUUCCCACCCCUUUGCCUCCUUUGAGUCUCAGCCAAAACACAAGUGAUGGUGGCUGGCUCCCUUGUUAUAGUUCUGAGUAAAUAGUCUCUGUCUGUUCUCACUGGGUUGGUCUUCAUUUGUUUCCACAAGUGUCAACUGAACUCACUCAGGUGAGAAAUGAUGGAGACUUAGAUGGAGGUGGUAACAGGGAAGAUGGCAAGAGGUGAUCAGAUUCAGGAUAUACUUUAAAGGUAGAACCUUCAAAAUGUAAGAGGUAAGGGAAAGUGAGAAUCAAGUUUUAACUUGGAUAACUAGCUGGGCAGUGGUGCCAUGUACAAAGUCGAGGAAGGCUGGAGUACAUUCUCAAACUGGAGAAUCAAUGCCUUGGGUUCACCUACUCCCUGCAUACACAGCAACAUAAAUAACUCCAAAACUCUUCUCUAUCGAAGAGACCAUCUCCACCAGCCUGACACGUGGCCAAAGGUCAUUUCUUUGGGUGGGGGAACCUCCAGGGUGUUAGUUCACGGGUACCCAUAAGCUCCCACUGCCCACUCCCACUGCCCACUCCCACUGCCAUUUACUUCCCUCCCCCUCAAAAAUAAUCUUUGCAAUCUCCUGACUGAUAUGUGAAAUUUCACCCUCGGAACUGACUUCA